GAUGAACGCUGGCGGCGUGCCUAAUACAUGCAAGUCGAGCGAACUGAUUAGAAGCUUGCUUCUAUGACGUUAGCGGCGGACGGGUGAGUAACACGUGGGCAACCUGCCUGUAAGACUGGGAUAACUUCGGGAAACCGAAGCUAAUACCGGAUAGGAUCUUCUCCCUCAUGGGAGAUGAUUGAAAGAUGGUUUCGGCUAUCACUUACAGAUGGGCCCGCGGUGCAUUAGCUAGUUGGUGAGGUAACGGCUCACCAAGGCAACGAUGCAUAGCCGACCUGAGAGGGUGAUCGGCCACACUGGGACUGAGACACGGCCCAGACUCCUACGGGAGGCAGCAGUGGGGAAUUGUUCGCAAUGGGCGCAAGCCUGACGACGCAACGCCGCGUGGAGGAUGAAGAUCUUCGGGUCGUAAACUCCUUUCGAUCGAGACGAAUUCCCCGGAGGCGAACAAUCUCCGGGGUUGACGGUACCGAGAGAAGAAGCCCCGGCUAACUCCGUGCCAGCCGCCGCCGUAAGAC
rnacentral:rRNA from 1 species